GACGAACGCUGGCGGCGUGCUUAACACAUGCAAGUCGAACGGAAAGGCCCUGCUUUUGUGGGGUGCUCGAGUGGCGAACGGGUGAGUAACACGUGAGUAACCUGCCCUUGACUUUGGGAUAACUUCAGGAAACUGGGGCUAAUACCGGAUAGGAGCUCCUGCUGCAUGGUGGGGGUUGGAAAGUUUCGGCGGUUGGGGAUGGACUCGCGGCUUAUCAGCUUGUUGGUGGGGUAGUGGCUUACCAAGGCUUUGACGGGUAGCCGGCCUGAGAGGGUGACCGGCCACAUUGGGACUGAGAUACGGCCCAGACUCCUACGGGAGGCAGCAGUGGGGAAUAUUGCACAAUGGGCGGAAGCCUGAUGCAGCAACGCCGCGUGCGGGAUGACAGCCUUCGGGUUGUAAACCGCUUUCGCCUGUGACGAAGCGUGAGUGACGGUAAUGGAUAAAGAAGCACCGGCUAACUACGUG
rnacentral:rRNA from 1 species